rnacentral:rRNA from 1 species
AGUGAACGCUGGCGGUAGGCCUAACACAUGCAAGUCGAACGGCAGCACAGUAAGAGCUUGCUCUUACGGUUGGCGACGGGCGGACGGGUGAGGAAUACAUCGGAAUCUACUUUUUCGUGGGGGAUAACGUAGGGAAACUUACGCUAAUACCGCAUACUACCUACGGGUGAAAUCAGAGGAUCUUCGGACCUUGCGCGAUUGAAUGAGCUGAUGUCGGAGUAGCUAGUUGGCGGGGUAAAGGCCCACCAAGGCGACGAUCCGUAGCUGGUCUGAGAGGAUGAUCAGCGACACUGGAACUGAGACAAGGUAGAGAAGACUACGAGAGGAAGCAGUAGGGAAUAUUGGACAAUGGGGGGAAGCAUGAUGCAGCGGUACCGCGUGGGUGAAGAAGGACUUCGGGUUGUAAAGACCCUUUGUUGGGAAAGAAAAGCAGAAGGUUAAUACCCAGUUGUUCUGACGGUAGUAAAAGAAUAAGCACCGGCUAACAUCGUG